rnacentral:rRNA from 1 species
UGGCUCAGGAUGAACGCUGGCGGCGUGCUUAACACAUGCAAGUCGAACGAUGAAGCCCAGCUUGCUGGGUGGAUUAGUGGCGAACGGGUGAGUAACACGUGAGUAACCUGCCCUUAACUCUGGGAUAAGCCUGGGAAACUGGGUCUAAUACCGGAUAGGAGCGUCCACCGCAUGGUGGGUGUUGGAAAGAUUUAUCGGUUUUGGAUGGACUCGCGGCCUAUCAGCUUGUUGGUGAGGUAAUGGCUCACCAAGGCGACGACGGGUAGCCGGCCUGAGAGGGUGACCGGCCACACUGGGACUGAGACACGGCCCAGACUCCUACGGGAGGCAGCAGUGGGGAAUAUUGCACAAUGGGCGCAAGCCUGAUGCAGCGACGCCGCGUGAGGGAUGACGGCCUUCGGGUUGUAAACCUCUUUCAGUAGGGAAGAAGCGAAAGUGACGGUACCUGCAGAAGAAGCACCGGCUAACUACGUGCCAGCAGCCGCGGUAAUACGUAGGGUGCGAGCGUUAUCCGGAAUUAUUGGGCGUAAAGAGCUCGUAGGCGGUUUGUCGCGUCUGUCGUGAAAGUCCGGGGCUUAACCCCGGAUCUGCGGUGGGUACGGGCAGACUAGAGUGCAGUAGGGGAGACUGGAAUUCCUGGUGUAGCGGUGGAAUGCGCAGAUAUCAGGAGGAACACCGAUGGCGAAGGCAGGUCUCUGGGCUGUAACUGACG